rnacentral:tRNA from 1 species
GAGCGAGUCCGCUAAACAAGCUAUUGGGCCCAUACCCCAAAAAUGUAGGUUAAACUCUCUACCUCUCUCA